CAGUAGCCGCGGGAAUACGUGGGUGGCAAGCGUUGUCCGGAAUUAUUGGGCGUAAAGCGCGCGCAGGCGGAUAGGUCAGUCUGUCUUAAAAGUUCGGGGCUUAACCCCGUGAUGGGAUGGAAACUGCCAACCUAGAGUAUCGGAGAGGAAAGUGGAAUUCCUAGUGUAGCGGUGAAAUGCGUAGAUAUUAGGAAGAACACCAGUGGCGAAGGCGACUUUCUGGACGAAAACUGACGCUGAGGCGCGAAAGCCAGGGGAGCGAACGGGAUUAGAUACCCCUGUAGUCCCUGUCUCUUAUACC
rnacentral:rRNA from 1 species